UACGUAGGGACCAAGCGUUGUUCGGAUUUACUGGGCGUAAAGGGCGCGUAGGCGGCGUGGUAAGUCACUUGUGAAAUCUCUGAGCUUAACUCAGAACGGCCAAGUGAUACUGCUGUGCUAGAGUGCAGAAGGGGCAAUCGGAAUUCUUGGUGUAGCGGUGAAAUGCGUAGAUAUUGGGAGGAACACCAGUGGCGAAGGCGGCUCGCUGGACCGGUUCUGACGCUGAGGCGCGAAAGCGUGGGGAGCAAACAGG
rnacentral:rRNA from 1 species